rnacentral:rRNA from 1 species
CGGCGGACGGGUGAGUAACACGUGGGUAACCUGCCUGUAAGACUGGGAUAACUCCGGGAAACCGGGGCUAAUACCGGAUGGUUGUUUGAACCGCAUGGUUCAAACAUAAAAGGUGGCUUCGGCUACCACUUACAGAUGGACCCGCGGCGCAUUAGCUAGUUGGUGAGGUAACGGCUCACCAAGGCAACGAUGCGUAGCCGACCUGAGAGGGUGAUCGGCCACACUGGGACUGAGACACGGCCCAGACUCCUACGGGAGGCAGCAGUAGGGGAUCUUCCGCAAUGAACGAAAAUCUGACGAAGCAACGGCGCGUGAGUGAUGAAGGGUUUUCGGAUCGUAAAGCUCUGUUGUUAGGGAAGAACAAGUACCGUUCGAAUAGGGCGGUACCUUGACGGUACCUAACCAGAAAGCCACGGCUAACUUCGUGCCAGCAGCCGCGGUAAUACGUAGGUGGCAAGCGUUGUCCGGAAUUAU